AUUGAACGCUGGCGGCAGGCCUAACACAUGCAAGUCGAACGAGUGGCGGACGGGUGAGUAAUGUCUGGGAAACUGCCUGAUGGAGGGGGAUAACUACUGGAAACGGUAGCUAAUACCGCAUACCAUCGGAUGUGCCCAGAUGGGAUUAGCUUGUUGGUGGGGUAACGGCUCACCAAGGCGACGAUCCCUAGCUGGUCUGAGAGGAUGACCAGCCACACUGGAACUGAGACACGGUCCAGACUCCUACGGGAGGCAGCAGUAGGGAAUAUUGCGCAAUGGGCGAAAGCCUGACGGAGCAACGCCGCGUGAGUGAAGAAGGUCUUCGGGUUGUAAAGUACUGUCAGCGGGGAGGCGUUAUCCGAACAAGAAGCCACGGCUAACUACGUGCCAGCAGCCGCGGUAAUUC
rnacentral:rRNA from 1 species